GAUGAACGCUGGCGGCGUGCUUAACACAUGCAAGUCGAACGGACAGGCCCUGCUUUUGUGGGGUGCUCGAUUGGCGAACGGGUGAGUAUCACGUGAGUAACCUGCCCUUGUCUUUGUGAUAACUUCAGGAAACUGGGGCUCAUACCGGAUAGGAUCUCCUGCUGCAUGGUGGGGGUUGGAAAGUUUCGGCGGUUGGGGAUGUACUCGCGGCUUAUCAGCUUGUUGGUGGGGUAGUGGCUUACCAAGGGUUUGACGGGUAGCCGGCCUGAGAGGGGGACCGGCCACAUUGGGACUGAGAUACGGCGCAGACGGCUACGGGAGGCAGCAGUGGGGAAUAUUGCACAAUGGGCGGAAGUCUGAUGCAGCAACGCCGCGUGCGGGAUGACGGGCUUCGGGUGGUAAACCGCUUUCGCAGGUGACGAAGAGAGAGUGACGGUAAUGGGUAAAGAAGCAACGGCUAACUACGUG
rnacentral:rRNA from 1 species